rnacentral:rRNA from 1 species
AACGAACGCUGGCGGCGUGCUUAACACAUGCAAGUCGUGCGUGAAAGGGGCUUCGGCCCUGAGUAAAGCGGCAGACGGGUGAGUAACACGUGGGUAACCUACCCCUUGGCGGGGGAUAACCACUCGAAAGGGUGGCUAAUACCGCAUAAGACCACGUCCCUGCGGGGAUGAGGUAAAAGGCUUCGGCCGCCAUGGGAGGGGCCCGCGGCCGAUUAGCUAGUUGGUGAGGUAAUGGCUCACCAAGGCUACGAUCAGUAGCUGGUCUGAGAGGAUGAUCAGCCACACUGGUACUUAGACACGGACCAGACUCCUACGGGAGGCAGCAGUGGGGAAUAUUGCGCAAUGGGCGAAAGCCUGACGCAGCAACGCCGCGUGGGUGAAGAAGGCCUUUGGGUCGUAAAGCCCUGUCAGAUGGGAAGAAACCUGCGCAAGCAGCUGACGGUACCAUCAAAGGAAGCACCGGCUAACUCCGUGCCAGCAGCCGCCGUAACAC